rnacentral:snoRNA from 1 species
GGGUCCUUGUGAUGUCUAGCACUGGGCUCUGAUCUCCCAUGAGGACACAGUGCCUCCUGGAACCAGGGAGUCUGAGCAGCCC